CCCUUUGGGGUGUGACUGCGUACCUUUUGUAUAAUGGGUCAGCGACUUAUAUUCUGUAGCAAGGUUAACCGUAUAGGGGAGCCGGAGGGAAACCGAGUCUUAACCGGGCGUUAAGUUGCAGGGUAUAGACCCGAAACCCGGUGAUCUAGCCAUGGGCAGGUUGAAGGUUGGGUAACACUAACUGGAGGACCGAACCGACUAAUGUUGAAAAAUUAGCGGAUGACCUGUGGCUGGGGGUGAAAGGCCAAUCAAACCGGGAGAUAGCUGGUUCUCCCCGAAAGCUAUUUAGGUAGCGCCUCGUGAAUUCAUCUCCGGGGGUAGAGCACUGUUUCGGCUAGGGGGCCAUCCCGGCUUACCAACCCGAUGCAAACUGCGAAUACCGGAGAAUGUUAUCACGGGAGACACACGGCGGGUGCUAACGUCCGUCGUGAAGAGGGAAACAACCCAGACCGCCAGCUAAGGUCCCAAAGUCAUGGUUAAGUGGGAAACGAUGUGGGAAGGCCCAGACAGCCAGGAUGUUGGCUUAGAAGCAGCCAUCAUUUAAAGAAAGCGUAAUAGCUCACUGGUCGAGUCGGCCUGCGCGGAAGAUGUAACGGGGCUAAACCAUGCA
rnacentral:rRNA from 1 species